rnacentral:lncRNA from 1 species
CUUGGGCCCCGCGGCGCUGCGCCUCCAACCCGGAAGAACAGCCCCAACUCCGCGGCGGCGGGCGGCCACGUGACUGCAGCUCCGCUCCCACCUCGGCCCGCGCCCCUUCCCCGCCCCAGCUUUCUUCCCGCCAGGCCCCCUCCACCCGAUCGCCGCGCGCUCUCCGAACCAAAAGGCGACCUCACGAAAUGCCCCUUUGAGCUCAAAGGCUAGUUACCCCCAGGGGCCCUUCCACUCUCGGGGACAGGCGAAACCUCUUUGUCUCUGCCUCGGCCUGCGGCCCCCAGCCCAGCCUCCGCGCUUUCCCUCCGCCAGUCCUUGUCAAUCAAACCUGGUGCCAAACGCGGCAGCUGAAGUUUUCAGGGACACAUUUGCUUCUCCCCUUGAAGAACCAGUUACAAAGCGUGAUGUCCUCUCUGGGGUCCCAUCAGAACAAAGAAACAGGUCUAAAGACCCUCAUUCCAGAGAGCAUCCUGCCCCAUAUCCAGAAUGAAAUCCAUGCUCAGAGAUGCCAAGAAGAAUCUAGACAGACAGGCCUUUCUAGAGUCAAGAAAAUUGUUUUUUUCUUUUGAGCUGUACAUAGCUUACAGUAAUUAGAUAAAUUACACUUUUGUGAGAACAAUUGAAACACUAACCUUUCUCUCUACCUGAUGUCUCCAGAAUUUGGAAAGUAUUUCCCUGCAGACUGGAGCAAGACAACUUGAAUAAACUAUGGGAAAAAUCACUACAGCAACUUAUAUAUAAACAGCUUUUAUGCUUUGUUGAUGUAUGGAAUACUCAGAAAGUUCACUGCAACACCUGAUUUAAACUACAACCAGGAGACUCUGUCAGAUUAACACUACAAUCUGAAGAACUACAGAGACUCUCAAAAAACUAGUGUAUAGUCUACAGUAGAUAUUAACCUUUGUUUUUCUUCUGUUUUCAUAGAAACACCUUUUAUUAAAAAUCUGUUUGCCGCUUCAUAUAUAGAGUCCUAGUCCAUCUGUAAUGCCACCCCCUGGAAUGAGACAUAGCUGUUUAACUGAACUGAUCUAUUCUCGGGACUAAGAGACUGAUAAAAA